GCACAGGUAUUCCAGCCAAGCUUGAUGGUAGAAAAUCUGCUUUGCAUGCAGAAGUUCCCAGGUUCAAUACCUGCCAUCUGCA